AGGGAACUGCGGUAAGAAAAGACGGUAGACAAGCGAAUCGCG
rnacentral:sRNA from 1 species